GUGUGUAACAACUCACCUGCCGAAGCAACCAGCCCUGAAAAUGGAUGGCGCUCCAGCGUCGAGCCCAUACCUGGCCGCCCGGGCAGAAAUGUUCGCACAGGGCAUGUAGGCCCGGGCGAGUAGGAGGUGUCGCGGUGGUGGCGGCGAAGGUGUCUGGCGUGAGCCAGCCUGAAGCCUCCAGUCCAGUGCAGAUCUUGGUGGUAGUAG
rnacentral:rRNA from 1 species